UUGGUAAACGCUGCACAUGUGUAGAGGAAAGUCCAUGCUCGCAUAGUCUGUGAUGACUAUAGUGUUUGUGUAUAGGGAAAAAAUAACCUAUAGUAGUAUUUAUACUAACGGCGGUGAGGUAACCUAAACAUUUCGCAUGGUUAUAGUAACUGUAAAGUGCCAUAGAGACGAGUCUUUCUAGAAAUGGAAAGAGUGGAACGUGGUAAACCCCACAAGCGAGAAACCCAAAAUUGGUAGGGGAGCCUAAUAGAAGAGAAUAAAGAAUUUUCUAUGGGAUUGCAAUAUGCAAUAGAUAAAUGUUUACCGCCUAGAAAUAGGAACAGAACAUGGCUUAUAA
rnacentral:RNase_P_RNA from 1 species